rnacentral:rRNA from 1 species
AUUGAACGCUGGCGGCAUGCCUAACACAUGCAAGUCGAGCGCAGCGUCGGACGGGUGAGUAAUGCCUAGGAAUUUACCCGUUAGUGGGCGAUAACGUCGGGAAACGGGCGCCAUUACCGCAUACUUUCAGAUGAGCCUCGGUCGGAUUAGCUAGUGGGUGGGGUAAAGGCCUACCAAGGCGACGAUCUGUAACUGGGCUGAGAGGAUGAUCAGUCACACUGGAACUGAGACACGGUCCAGACUCCGACGGGAGGCAGCAGUGGGGAAUAGUGGACAAUGGGCGAAAGGCUGACCCAGCAAUGCCGCGUGAGUGAAGAAGGUCUUCGGAUUGUAAAGCACUUUAGGUUGGGAGGCGGUACCAACAGAGAAAGCAACGGCUAACUACGUGCCAGCAGCCGCGGUAAUAC